CAUGUUUUCUUUUAUGCGUACGAGACUACGAGUUCUUUUUCACCGGACGGCAGUGAAUAGUCUUGUAGCUCAUUUCGCGACCCCUGCAGCAAUAGUUAUUGAUUCUGGAUUCUUCGCUUCCAGUGGAUGGAUGGCUUUGCCACCAACAUAUCCAUCGAGCGAGGCUAUUGAAUACCCGGAGACCCGAUGCUGAAUGCGUACGGCACCCAGGUACUGGGUUUGCUGCGAUCGAUCCUUCGGCGGAGCGUGGCGGUGAUCUAUAGGGUAGCCCACUAACCCUUAGAGGCCUGGUGCCGGAGCGAAUGUACGUAGUACCUAAUUCAACCAACAAGGAAAUUGAAGGGACGCAAUGUAAAUACGUAUGUAUUUACCCUACCGUAGCUCAAUGCUUUCAGUUUUUUUUCCCCCGACUCUGCGUUUCUACCUUCUUUGUAUGUUUCAGCCUUCAGCCUCCCGGUCUGACCUCGCGCUGUCAAGUUUUACGGUUUACAGAGUUUCCGUCUUGUCAACGGUCAACACUAGCACUAAGAAGCAUAGGUACGCACUUAAAAAAAGUGUCUUGCGGCUUGCCGGAGCGUUCCGCCGCUUCCUCGUACUACUACUCUGUAGUAAGUCGUAAGUACGCACUACGACGCCUCCAUCCCACGGCCGGUGGCCAACUCUGUACAACGGUACGACCAUGUCCUGCCCAAAGCGUCCCUGAUAAGACUUAAUCUUUCGAUUUAAUCAUUCCACGAAGGAAUCGAAUCUACGUAAUGCUUCCUGACAGCUUGGCAUGAUUGGACCCGAACUCCUGGGAAACGAUGGGAGCGACUCUUCGAGUUCGAGUGGCGCCUCUCAACGCUGCAUUGCUGGGCCGGGGUUGGGUGUCCCUGUACUCCGGACUGUGUCGUGUUGUGACGCAUUGGCCUGGCCAUUCAACAGCCACGAGGGUUGCGUGGGUGCAGGAUCCCUAUCCUAGGGACGAUCAGGUUCGAGUUUCGUCUCAGGAAUAGGUAGUACGUACUCUGUACGGGAGUAUGUAGAGAGUAAAUCAACACCACACCAAGAGCAAGAUGAUUAUGAAAGGGAUGGGCGGGCUAUUUGGCAAUAGUGUAUUUACGACAGCCCAUCCAUAUGACAAUGCUCAACCUUGCAUGAAUGUUGAUUAUUGAAGCUUCAACUCAUACUACGUACGUAGCACGUAGAUAAGAUGGAAUCUGUAAAUACUGAAAUCAAUCGAUCGAGCAUCCACAUUCCGUCCUCCGUCCUCCCUUCGCAAGACAAAUAUAUCGCAUAUCUCGCUUCUUACGCACAGGUUUCGAUCCGAUUGAAGAAUGCUGAC
rnacentral:lncRNA from 1 species